AUUGAACGCUGGCGGCAUGCCUUACACAUGCAAGUCGAGCGGCAGCGCGGGGCAACCUGGCGGCGAGCGGCGAACGGGUGAGUAAUGCAUCGGAACGUACCCAGUCGUGGGGGAGUAACUGUCCGAAAGGACAGCUAAUACCGCAUACGUCCUGAGGGAGAAAGACGGGGAGUCGCAAGACCUCGCGCGAUUGGAGCGGCCGAUGCCGGAUUAGCUAGUUGGUAGGGUAAAGGCCUACCAAGGCGACGAUCCGUAGCUGGUCUGAGAGGACGACCAGCCACACUGGAACUGAGACACGGUCCAGACUCCUACGGGAGGCAGCAGUGGGGAA
rnacentral:rRNA from 1 species